rnacentral:rRNA from 1 species
AUGCGUGAUCAGGUCGGCAUCGACCUGGACGGCUUCCCCCUCGACCACGAGUUCCCGGAGGACUAUGGGCUAGAGGAAGAGGACGAGUGCGACAUCGAAGUGGAGCCUUUGUUCGAGGACGAGCUCGCGAACCAAACCGCCGGUCCUAAGCUGAAGCGCAAGAGCAAGCGCACGAAGACGUACACAGCUGCCGAGGACAAGCUUAUUUGUGAGUGUUGGCGAGACAUUAGACAAGACCCAAAGACGGGCGCCGAGCAAAAAUUGAAUACGGACAUGAAAUGGAUCGGCGCGUUGGGCGCAUUGCCGACCCAAAUGCAUAACUGGGCGGACGCCGGGCAGGCAGCCGACCCAAACGGACAAAAAACGGACAAAUGCGCCGUCUGUUUGGGUCGCCCCAUUGGAGUUGCUCUUACGUCCGCUUGCCUUUUUUUUUCUCUUUUGCGAAGAAAAAUCGCAAAAGGAAAAACAAACAUAUCCUGCCAGUGCAGUGCACACGAAGACACGCUAAGAAUGCAGCGAAUGACGCUGAAGCAUGUGCCAUGGAUUUGGACGCAAGGGAAAUCUUUGCCUUUGGUGGUGCCAUCCUCUGUCCGGACAUGUAACAAGAAACGGAGUUUGUCGGUGAACUCGUGCUGGUGGGUGCUAGGAAAGAAUGGACGAAAAGCAAAGCGAAAGAGCACACGGAUGAAGAGCUCACGCCGGCGAACAGAUUUAUGGUAG